AUUGAACGCUGGCGGCAUGCCUUACACAUGCAAGUCGAACGGUAACAGGUCUUCGGAUGCUGACGAGUGGCGAACGGGUGAGUAAUACAUCGGAACGUGCCCAGACGUGGGGGAUAACGAGGCGAAAGCUUUGCUAAUACCGCAUACGAUCUAAGGAUGAAAGCAGGGGACCGCAAGGCCUUGUGCGUUUGGAGCGGCCGAUGGCAGAUUAGGUAGUUGGUGGGAUAAAAGCUUACCAAGCCGACGAUCUGUAGCUGGUCUGAGAGGACGACCAGCCACACUGGGACUGAGACACGGCCCAGACUCCUACGGGAGGCAGCAGUGGGGAAUUUUGGACAAAGGGCGAAAGCCUGAUCCAGCAAUGCCGCGUGCAGGAUGAAGGCCUUCGGGUUGUAAACUGCUUUUGUACGGAACGAAAAGGCUCUGGCUAAUACCUGGGGCACAUGACGGUACCGUAAGAAUAAGCACCGGCUAACUACGUG
rnacentral:rRNA from 1 species